CUCUCCGCCCCAGCGUGCCUGGCGCGGCGCCUCCGGGCAGCCAGCGGAGUUUCGCGGGCCCGCCCGUAGCCUGUACCGACUGUGCUGCCGGGCGCCGCUCCCUCACUCCCCCGGCCGUGGGAUCGCGGAGAGAAUCGGAAGGGUAAAGCCAGGAGCCCUAGUCUGACUGGAUUUGGGUUUCAUCUUUACAUUUCUCUGGGAUUUGUCCAGUCCAGGCCUGUGAGAACCAGCUCAUCAGGAGUUUUUAGAUACAAGCUACAUAGCAAGGAACCUGCCUGUUGAACCAACCCAUACGUGACAAAAAUUGAAGCCAGCAGGAACAAAAUUACAAAUUCUGUUGUUUUUUUCUUUUAUUAAUGUAAUUACCAGAAAUUCCCUUCUUAUUUGUUUAUCCAAUA